UCAGAUCUAAUCAGAUCCCACCAACAAUGCUCAAAGCCAACAUUCUCACCGGCCUUUUCCUCCUCUUCACUCUCUCCUCCGCGCAAACCCCUCCGGCACCAGAACCAGUGGCCGCAGAUGGACCUUCUUCUCCGACGAACUGUCUAGUGAGUAUGCUAAACGUAUCAGACUGUCUCUCGUACGUUCAGGUAGGGAGUACUGAGACUAAGCCAGAAGCUGCCUGUUGCCCUGAGCUUGCUGGGAUGGCUCAAAGCUCGCCGGAGUGCGUCUGUAAUCUUCUCGGCGGCGGCGCAUCGCCGCGUUUCGGAGUCAAGCUUGAUAAGCAGAGAGCUAAGGAACUUUCUUCACUUUGCGGUGUGAAAGCUCCAUCGCCUAGUCUGUGUUCAGGUACAUUUUACUCAUUACGUGCACCGACUUUUUCUAUGUUAUUGGACCGUCCGAUCCAUUUGAAUUCAAUCGAACGGCUUCAGUUCACUAGUUCUACUUAUACAUUUUUCUAAUUUGAUCUAACUAGUUUAAAAAGUCGCAUUUUCUAUAAAGUAAAUCCUAAAUCUCAUGAUAUAAAAAUAUUAAUCAACUAUAUAACUAACGUGACUUCCACAAUUUUAAACUUACAACCUUUGUUUGAAAAAUGUAGUUUUUGUUAUGAACCAGAUUAGAUGGCUCAUAACCAAGAGAUUAUGAUUUGUAAUCUUUUCAUUUAUCUAUGACGGUGUAAUCUCCUAUAUAAAGAACCUCUAUGUUAUGAAUAAAGAUAGAUUUUUCCAUUACUUUUAUAACACGUUAUCAGCACGAAACUCUAAAUCCCUAAGCUAAUACCCAAAUCGAAAAACCCUAAAGCCCUAACCCUAGCCGGCGAUCCGACGAACCCUAAACCCCGAUCGCGUCUCUUGUUCCCGCAUCUGUUCCAGCUCGCGUCCCCGAUCAGCUUCAGCCCAAGGCGUUCCUGAUCCUAGCUCAGACGAUCUAAAAAAUAGAAACAUGUAAAUAUGUAUAUAUUUUAUAACAACGUAUGAAAAUCAUAAGUUAAUUUUUUUGCUAAUAACUAUUACCAUAUUUUUUACAGUAAUAAAAUAGUCCUGAUUUGUAAAACACUUGAACUAUAAUUAAAUAACAAUUCAUCGCAAACAUGCUUCUUAUUUUCUUAGUCUUCUUUUGAUCUUUUUGCUUUAAUUUAGCAUUGACUAAAUUGAAAUAAAGAUUAUAAAUUUGAUGAUAACAAUUAGUGGAAAUUCUUCACAAUUUUUUUAUUAUCUAUAGACAAAUAGAGUUUCGUGUUUAAUAGAAGAAACAUGACUUUGAUGAACGCUAAAUAUGAAAGAAUAUAAUAACUUAUUUUUUGUGCUUCGUGUUUCUGUUUUAUUUUUUGUUUUUUAUUUUUAUUAUCAAAAUUUUGAGAUUUUAUUUUAAUUAUAGAUUUGAUUAUUUUAUUAGAUGAUAGAAACAUUAUUUAUUUUUGUUCUUUUAUUUAAACUUAUAAUAUUUUUUAAUAAAUGAAUGUGUUGACAACAAGACUCUAAAAUUCAUAUAAUAUGAUCCCAAAAUAAAGAAUUAUGUUUUUUGGUAUAAAACCGAAUAAACCGAAAAUCGAAGGUAUACAAACCGAACCGAACCGAAGUAAAUAUGAAUUUAGAAUGGUAGUUAUAUUUUACUAACCGAAAUACCGAAAAACCGAAAAAACCAAACCGAAACCGAACCGAUAUCCGGAUUGAACACCCCUACUUUCAAUAAUCCAGAGCAAAUGAUCAUUUGAUCACUUCGAAUAUUAGCGUUAUCCUCACAUUUUUCGCUCACUAUCACCCAAAUGUAACCCACCAUACUUCACAGAAAACUUUAUUUUAUUUUUAUUCAUAUUCAUUUCACAAUCCACACCACUUGCUCUCACGGUCUCACCGAUAUCCGGUAAAAAGACACGCUUAAACCUUAUACAGUUUUUUGUGUGCACAAAAUAUUAUACAGAUUUUUUUUUGUGUGCACAAAACUUUAGACAGUUAGAGCAACAGCAUCGCUGUAUAUAGCGAGAUUUCUUAGCAAUUAAAAGGGUGAAUUUAAAUCAAAAAUGGUUAUAAACGCAGAUUUUGUUUGUUAAUUAAAAAACAUUUAUAUGUGGUUUGUGGAGGCACGUGUCACCUAGGUGAAACCGAAAGAAAGACGCGUGAGAGGGAGCAAAACAAAUCAACUCAAUUCUCUCUUCUUUCUUCUCUUUUCUCCCUUGUCUCUCUCCCGUGCGAUAUCUGUAUCUCUCGAGACCGAACCCAUGUUCCGGUUGUAACAACGGCGAAUCGACUCCUCAAAGUCUACUUAUCGAGGCCUCUAUAUCCCUACGACGGUGAUACGAACGAUCUCUCUUCUCUCCUCUCAGUGUCGGCAUUAUCUCUCUCUCGAGGUGAUCUCCUCUCAGAUACCGAAUCGAGCCGCUCACAUACCGAAUCAAGGUCUGACAUACCGAAUCCACCGCUCACAUAUCGAAUCGAGACCAAAGCCGUGAACCUCUGUCAACAUCGAUCUCUCCCCCGAUUUGAACCAACAUCGAUCUCUCCCCCGAUUUGAACCAACAGCUUGAUCGUCGAGCUACAGUUCGGGAUAGACCAGUCCAUAGACAACUAAAACAUGAUUUGAUCGAACAUCUAUGGGAUAAAUUUGGAGAUGAAUAAUAACUUUUUAUCUUUAACUUUUUAUGAAUUGAAUAAAAAUAUUGUAAUUUGCAUUUUUAAUGUUUUUUCAACUUUGUAAUUUUUUUUUCCAACUUUGUAAUUUUUUUUUUAACUUUGUACUUUCUUAUGUUUUCAAUUAUCUAUGUUAUAUGUUUUAUUUGCUACACAAAUAAUUAAAAAAAUAAAAAUUAAAACUAAGAACCAAAAAGGGUUUCUACCAAUAAUCUUCAUUUCUAACCAAGUUUUUUAACAAAGUUUUUUAACCUACUUUUUACCCUAAGAAACAAAAAAGUUUUUAGCAUUGCUGAUGCUCUUAUGUUAUACUUACUGUUUCAGUAAAAAAAAAAGACUCAAGUCUACUUAGUAGAUUUGAAAUUAGAAUAAUUCUAAAAGAAAAAGACUUGAAUUGCAUAAAUGUUAUUUCGUAAGAACUUUGACCUCCAUUCACAAAGAGGCAAAGACAGUGCUUUACUGUUUUGUUUUUUUCUUUUCACUUUAAAAAGUUACUUGUCCAUAAAAUAUACAAAAUUAAUUUCUAAUUCUAACAUCAUUGAGUGCAGCUCAGAUCUAAUCAGAUCCCACCAACAAUGCUCAAAGCCAACAUUCUCACCGGCCUUUUCCUCCUCUUCACUCUCUCCUCCGCGCAAACCCCUCCGGCACCAGAACCAGUGGCCGCAGAUGGACCUUCUUCUCCGACGAACUGUCUAGUGAGUAUGCUAAACGUAUCAGACUGUCUCUCGUACGUUCAGGUAGGGAGUACUGAGACUAAGCCAGAAGCUGCCUGUUGCCCUGAGCUUGCUGGGAUGGCU
rnacentral:lncRNA from 1 species